UGCCAGCAGCCGCGGUAAUACAGAGACUGCAAGCGUUAUUCGGAUUCACUGGGCGUAAAGGGUGCGCAGGUGGCCAGGUGUGUGAGGCGUGAAAGCCCGAUGCUUAACAUCGGAAUUGCACCUCAAACUACUUGGCUAGAGCAUUGGAGAGGGAAGCGGAAUUCACGGUGUAGCAGUGAAAUGCGUAGAUAUCGUGAGGAACACCAGAGGCGAAGGCGGCUUCCUGGACAAUUGCUGACACUCAGGCACGAAAGCGUGGGGAGCAAAAGGGAUUAGAUACCCCUGUAGUCCACGCCCUAAACGGUGCACACUAGGUCUUGGCGGAUUUGACCCCGCCAGGGCCCAAGCUAACGCGUUAAGUGUGCCGCCUGAGGACUACGGUCGCAAGACUAAAACUCAAAGGAAUUGACGGGGGCCCGCACAAG
rnacentral:rRNA from 1 species